UUUUCUUUGUUUUUCUGCAAACUCAGUCACAAAUUAGUCACUCGCAAAUCCAAACUCAUCUUUCAUUCUUCAAGCUUUAAACUUCAUCUUUCACAAAUUAAACACGCCACAGUAAAGAUAAUUAAACACACCACAAAAAACUAAGAAGCCACAAAUUAAACUUCAUCCUUCUAGGUACCUUCAUCAAACCCAGCCACAAAUUAAACACUUUCAGUGAAAACGUGAAUCGUGUAUGGCAGCUUUUAGCCUUCAUCACCAGCGACGAGUUGGUCCUAUGCAACAUUUUUCUACUUCAGCACCAACCACGAGUUUUCUUUGUCUUCCUCUUCCAUCUAUUAAGGAGCAUUUCCGUCGAGAAGUGUUUGUUGAUUUCUCCGAUAAUUUUCUAAUAAUUCUUGUUUGUUACUCAACAAUCUAAAAUUAUUUCAUUGUUAAUUAUUCUUAUUAUUAAUCUUUAAUUGAUGAAGAAAUUUGUAGGAGAAAUUUCUACAUAAGUGAUGGGGAAAUUUGAGAAGUGAUGAUGCCUAAAAAACUAUGAAAGUGAUGGAGAAAUUUGAGUAGUAGUAGUUACCCCAAUUUUCAAUCAUCCUUUAAAACUGCAUGUUAUGUGUUUGUGAUAUUGUCUCUGUUAAUAAUAAGUCCAAUGCUAUAAAUUUUUAAACACAUUUGUCAAUUUGAGUUUGUGAUUUGUGUUGGUUGUUGUUUAAUGUGUUCAUACUCUUAUGUUUGAAAUAAUGGAGUUAUUUUUGACAUUGUAUAUGUUAAUAAUAAGUCUAAUGAUAUAAAUUUUUAAAUAUAUUUGUUAAUUUGAGUUUGUGAUUUGUGUUAGUUGUUGCUUAAUGUGUUCAUACUCUUAUACUCUUAUGUUUGAAAUAACGGAGUUAUUUUAUGCAAUUAUAUUGCUUUGCUGGGUAGCUUAAAUUUAAAAGUUAUAGCUGUGAUUAUGAGUUACUUAAAACUUAAAAGUAUAUCAGUUUUUUAUACUGAUAGAAUGAUAAACACUACUUCAAUUUAGAUCUAUUAUUCUGAUGUCUCAAAUUCGAAGUUAGGACUCUUCAAAUCAAAUCUGGUCUACUACUACUACUGACUCCACCGUAUCAAUUCAUCACUACUCACUUAGUAGGGAUAAGGAAGGAAGACCAGUUUGUUACCAUCUUUUUGAGGUUUUCAAAGACAAGGUUUUGUAUAAGAAGACAUUUGGAACACAGGAGAUAUGUGAACUUUUUUUGAGGUGGAGAAUUCAGUUGAUGGAAAUUGCUGUUAAAAAGUUGUGUUUUGGAGGAGGGGUUGAUUCAACUAUUCAGGUUUUUGAUUUAAAGAAUUCACCAAUUCAAGGAAUGAAAGAGCUUAGUGCACUCAGCAAAAAGGCUCUUAUAUUGUUUCAGAAUUAUUAUCCUGAGAUUAUUUACAAAAAUAUUAUAGUAAAUGCACCAUUUUGGUUCUACACUUCACAAGUUUUAUUCUCAAGGUCUAUGAACCUAUGAACCAGAGAAAUAAAAAGAAGUUCAUCUUGGCAAGACCACAAAAGGUUACACGAAUUCUUCUCAAGUAUAUAGCCCCAGAACAUCUUCCAGCUGAAUAUGGUGGUCUAAGGAGGAAUAGUGACCAAGAUUUUUCCCCUGAUGAUAAGGUUUUGGAGCUUAAAAUCAAAGCAAAUUCUCCACACCAUAAUCUUCUGUAACAUAUAAAUUAGGCUAAAUUACAUUCGUGGUCCUUUAACUUAAUUUCAGGUAACGUUUUAGUCAUUUAUCUUUUUUUUCCCGA